GGGCCCGCACAAGCGGUGGAGUAUGUGGCUUAAUUCGAAGCAACGCGAAGAACCUUAUCCUGGGUUUGACAUGCAUGGAUUAGCUUCCUGAAAGGGAAGUGACGCGGCUUGCCGUGGAACAUGCACAGGUGCUGCAUGGCUGUCGUCAGCUCGUGCUGUGAAGUGUCGGGUUAAGUCCCUUAACGAGCGCAACCCCUAUCACUAGUUGCUAGCGAGUAAUGUCGAGGACUCUAGUGAGACUGCCGGUGUCAAACCGGAGGAAGGUGGGGAUGACGUCAAGUCCGCAUGGCCUUUAUGCCCAGGGCUGCACACGUGCUACAAUGGUUGGUACAGAACGAAGCAAGACCGCAAGGUGGAGCAAAUCGCUAAAGCCAACCUCAGUUCGGAUUGUGGGCUGAAAUUCGCCCACAUGAAGUUGGAAUCGCUAGUAAUCGG
rnacentral:rRNA from 1 species